UCAAACUUGGUCAUUUAGAGGAAGUAAAAGUCGUAACAAGGUUUCCGUAGGUGAACCUGCGGAAGGAUCAUUAAUGAAUAUCUAUGGCGUUGGUUGUAGCUGGCUCCUAGGAGCAUUUGUGCACGCCCGUCAUUCAUAUCAUCUUUCCACCUGUGAACUAUGUGUAGGCCUGGAUACCUCUCGCUUUGGUAACAACAAGGCGGAUGCAAGGAUUGCUGUGUCGAUAAGGCCAGCUCUCUUUGAAUUUCCAGGUUCUAUGUCUUUUACAACACCCCAUUUGAAUGAUGUAGAAUGUAGUCAAUGGGCUUUUAAGCCUAUAAAACACUAUACAACUUUCAGCAACGGAUCUCUUGGCUCUCGCAUCGAUGAAGAACGCAGC
rnacentral:misc_RNA from 1 species